UUUGCAUUUAAUGUUAUGGUGAUUACUAUUUAUGCAAAAUAUUAACUUUUUCAUAAAUAAUAAGUAUACAAAUUUUAAACACAUGGUCAUACCACAUUUUGGGUCACAAAUUUUUUGACAUUGGUUCCUAAUUAAAAUUCAAAGCUUAUUAAAAAUAAUUUCAAAAUUUUAGAUUUCAUUACCUAUGUUUACUGUUCCAUUAGAUCAUUCUACAUUGGAAAUUUGGCUAAACUUUCUUCAUCAAAAUUGUUCCUUAAUGUCUCUAA
rnacentral:misc_RNA from 1 species